rnacentral:lncRNA from 1 species
GGGAGCCGCGUGAGGUGGUCAGCUCUUUCUGUGAUUUUUUUUCUAUUAUUAUUAUUUUUGGUUCAUCCGUUUUCUUUUGAUCAUUCCCUUAAGCGCCAGUUAAAAGAAAAAGGCCCCACUUUGACAAUGGGUUGAUGUGUUUUUUUUCUCCAGUACAAUAAUGAAAUGAUGCUGCUGCUGAGGAUGAUAAAUAAAGCCCAAAUCCCAAAUGCAUUGUAACAAUUUCCUAUUAUUUUGCCUUAUCUUGGUGAUGAUAUUUUGACUUUUUAGAUAGUGGUACAUGUGUUAAAGUCUGGGUGAUGUUUGUUGGUGUUACUAUUAAGGGCAGCCCUGCCGUUC